AAGAGAUACAACAAUGUGCAACUUGAUGGAAAGCCCAUGAAAAUAGAGAUCGUCGGAACAAACAUCUCAACACCCGCUGCUGUGCCCAUGGUUCCAAAUGUUGGCUUUGGGAACCCAAAUACUGGUUUUGGGAACCCAAAUGCUGGCUUUGGAAACCCAAAUGGCUUUCAGAGGAGUGGUCCAGCAAGGGGAGAUUCCAUAGGAGUGCCACGAGGUGGUCGUGGAAGGGGGAGGGGCCGUGGGCGUGGUAGGGGCCGUAGUGAGCGUGAUCCGGUAUCUGCCUCUGAUCUUGAUGCUGAUCUCGAGAAGUACCAUCAGGAAUCGAUGCAGAUUAA
rnacentral:misc_RNA from 1 species